rnacentral:rRNA from 1 species
CCUACGGGAGGCAGCAGUGAGGAAUAUUGGUCAAUGGACGAGAGUCUGAACCAGCCAAGUAGCGUGAAGGAUGACUGCCCUAUGGGUUGUAAACUUCUUUUAUAAAGGAAUAAAACGAGGCACGUGUGCCUUUUUGCAUGUACUUUAUGAAUAAGGAUCGGCUAACUCCGUGCCAGCAGCCGCGGUAAUACGGAGGGUCCGAGCGUUAUCCGGAUUUAUUGGGUUUAAAGGGGGCGUAGAUGGGUUGUUAAGUCAGUUGUGAAAGUUUGCGGCUCAACCGUAAAAUUGCAAUUGAUACUGGCAGUCGUGAGUACAGUAGAGGUAGGCGGAAUUCGUGGUGUAGCGGUGAAAUGCUUAGAUAUCACGAAGAACCCCGAUUGCGAAGGCAGCUUACUAAACUGUGACUGACAUUGAUGCUCGAAAGUGUGGGUAUCAAACAGGAUUAGAUACCCUGGUAGGC